CCCGGCCCCUAACGUCGAUUUUGUACAUAUUGUGCUUAAAUCGGUCACCAAGGAGCCUACAGUAUAACUUCCACCGACGGUCGCUGCUCAGUUUUUUGUGUAUAGCUGACGGCAACAUUUGUGGUAGGAUAGUC
ensembl:snoRNA